rnacentral:lncRNA from 1 species
CGCAGGCUUUGUACAUUAUUCUCCGCACCAUGGGGACACGUUCAUUCAGUGGUACCUUCAGCUCUCGGAGUGCGUUGGAGACUGCGGCUUCUUCGUCUGAGUUAGAAGAGUAGAGUUCAAUUGAGGCCUCAGUCACACUCGUGCGGCUGAUGACGUCGUCCAAGUCUGAGAGUCGUUCGGAAUCGCAGGAGGUGACGCGUCUGAUCACCGCCUGGAUAUCGAUCAAGAGCUUGGUGGUGCAUAGCACCUCGUUUUCUGGAUCAGAAACGACGUCCACAAAAUCUGGGUUGACACAUACGUCACAGAGAGCGUCGCCCACCACUUCCCAAUAGUCACUGGCUAUUCUCAUGGCCAUGUUCAAUCUUGAUUAGUUUGAACAAGAAUAUAAGUAGAGAAACUAAGAAAGAUGAAGACUGAUUAACUGGAUAUUAUGCUCUCUCGUGGAUUCUACG